GAUGAACGCUGGCGGCGUGCUUAACACAUGCAAGUCGAGCGGAAAGGCCCCUUCGGGGGUACUCGAGCGGCGAACGGGUGAGUAUCACGUGAGUAAUCUGCCCUUGGCUUCGGGAUAGCUUCGGGAAACCGAAAUUAAUACCGGAUACGACACGGUCUCGCAUGGGAUCCGUGUGGAAAGUUUUUUCGGCCAGGGAUGUGCUCGCGGCCUAUCAGCUUGGUGGUGGGGUAAUGGCCUACCAAGGCUUCGACGGGUAGCCGGCCUGAGAGGGUGACCGGCCACACUGGGACUGAGACACGGCCCAGACUCCUACGGGAGGCAGCAGUGGGGAAUAUUGGACAAUGGGCGGAAGCCUGAUCCAGCAACGCCGCGUGAGGGAUGACGGCCUUCGGGUUGUAAACCUCUUUCACCACCGACGAAGCGCAAGUGACGGUAGGUGGGGAAGAAGCACCGGCCAACUACGUGCCAGCCGCCGCUGUAAUAC
rnacentral:rRNA from 1 species